AGAGUUUGAUCAUGGCUCAGGACGAACGCUGGCGGCGUGCCUAACACAUGCAAGUCGAACGGAGUCAUAGCAGUUUAGUUUACUAAACAGUUAUGUACUUAGUGGCGAACGGGUGAGUAACGCGUGGGUAACCUGGCCUUAAGCCCGGAAUAACAGCUGGAAACGGCUGCUAAUGCCGGAUGGUUUUAGAAGUGGCAUCACUUACAGAAGAAAGCUGGCCUCUUAACAAUGCUAGCGCUUAAGGAUGGACCCGCGUCUGAUUAGCUAGUUGGUGGGGUAACGGCCUACCAAGGCGACGAUCAGUAGCCGGCCUGAGAGGGUGAACGGCCACACUGGGACUGAGACACGGCCCAGACUCCUACGGGAGGCAGCAGUGGGGAAUCUUCCGCAAUGGACGCAAGUCUGACGGAGCAACGCCGCGUGUAUGAAGAAGGCCUUCGGGUUGUAAAGUACUGUUGUUAGGGAAGAACCGGUUAUGUGAGAAUAUUGCAUAGCCCUGACGGUACCUAACGAGGAAGCCCCGGCUAACUACGUGCCAGCAGCCGCGGUAAUACGUAGGGGGCGAGCGUUGUCCGGAAUUAUUGGGCGUAAAGGGCGCGUAGGCGGCUGAUCAAGUCUGAUGUGAAAGUGCGGGGCUUAACCCCGUAAAGCAUUGGAAACUGGUUGGCUUGAGGGCAGGAGAGGAAAGUGGAAUUCCUAGUGUAGCGGUGAAAUGCGUAGAGAUUAGGAGGAACACCAGUGGCGAAGGCGACUUUCUGGACUGCACCUGACGCUGAGGCGCGAAAGCGUGGGUAGCGAAC
rnacentral:rRNA from 1 species